GUAAUGUAUCGGAACGUGCCCAGUCGUGGGGGAUAACGCAGCGAAAGCUGUGCUAAUACCGCAUACGAUCUAUGGAUGAAAGCGGGGGAUCGCAAGACCUCGCGCGAUUGGAGCGGCCGAUAUCAGAUUAGCUAGUUGGCGGGGUAAAAGCCCACCAAGGCGACGAUCUGUAGCUGGUCUGAGAGGACGACCAGCCACACUGGGACUGAGACACGGCCCAGACUCC
rnacentral:rRNA from 1 species